GUACCCUUUGGCAGCACAUAUACUAAAACUGAAACAAUACAGAGAAGAUUAGCAUGGCCCCUGCACAGGGAUGACAUGCAUAUUCAUGAAGUGUUCCAUAUAUAU